rnacentral:rRNA from 1 species
UACGUAGGGGGCGAGCGUUGUCCGGAUUUAUUGGGCGUAAAGGGCUCGUAGGCGGUCCAUCGCGUCGGGAGUGAAAAGCUGGGGCUUAACCCCAGUCCUGCUUCCGAUACGGGCAGGCUUGAGUUCGGUAGGGGAGACUGGAAUUCCUGGUGUAGCGGUGAAAUGCGCAGAUAUCAGGAGGAACACCGGUGGCGAAGGCGGUUCUCUGGGCAUUACCUGACGCUGAGGAGCGAAAGUGUGGGGAGCGAACAGG